rnacentral:rRNA from 1 species
GAUGAACGCUAGCUACAGGCUUAACACAUGCAAGUCGAGGGGUAGCAUGUUGGUUGCUUGCAACCGAUGAUGACGACCGGCGCACGGGUGAGUAACGCGUAUCCAACUUGGCUUAUACUUAGGGAUAACCCGUUGAAAGACGGCCUAAUACCUAAUGGUUUAUAAUAGUUGCAUGACUUUUAUAAUAAAGAUUUAUCGGUAUAAGAUAGGGAUGCGUCUGAUUAGUUAGUUGGUGAGGUAACGGCUCACCAAGGCAUCGAUCAGUAGGGGUUCUGAGAGGAAGGUCCCCCACAUUGGAACUGAGACACGGUCCAAACUCCUACGGGAGGCAGCAGUGAGGAAUAUUGGUCAAUGGACGUAAGUCUGAACCAGCCAAGUAGCGUGCAGGAUGACGGCCCUAUGGGUUGUAAACUGCUUUUAUGUGAGAAUAAAGUUAACUACGUGUAGUUAUUUGCAUGUAUCACAUGAAUAAGGACCGGCUAAUUCCGUGCCAGCAGCCGCGGUAAUACGGAAGGUCCAGGCGUUAUCCGGAUUUAUUGGGUUUAAAGGGAGCGUAGGCCGUUUGGUAAGCGUGCUGUGAAAUUUAGAGGCUCAACCUCUACCGUGCAGCGCGAACUGUCAGACUUGAGUGCGUAGUAGGUAGGCGGAAUUCGUGGUGUAGCGGUGAAAUGCUUAGAUAUCACGAAGAACUCCGAUUGCGAAGGCAGCUUACCGUAUCGCAACUGACGCUGAUGCUCGAAGGUGCGGGUAUCGAACAGGAUUAGAUACCCUGGUAGUCCGCACAGUAAACGAUGGAUGCUCGCUGUUGGCUUUUAUAGUCAGUGGCUUAGCGAAAGCGUUAAGCAUCCCACCUGGGGAGUACGCCGGCAACGGUGAAACUCAAAGGAAUUGACGGGGGCCCGCACAAGCGGAGGAACAUGUGGUUUAAUUCGAUGAUACGCGAGGAACCUUACCCGGGCUUGAACUGCAGGGGAACGAUUCAGAGAUGAUGAGGUCCUUCGGGACUCCUGUGGAGGUGCUGCAUGGUUGUCGUCAGCUCGUGCCGUGAGGUGUCGGCUUAAGUGCCAUAACGAGCGCAACCCCUUUUCUUAGUUGCCAUCGGGUGAUGCCGGGCACUCUGAGGAUACUGCCACCGUAAGGUGUGAGGAAGGUGGGGAUGACGUCAAAUCAGCACGGCCCUUACGUCCGGGGCUACACACGUGUUACAAUGGGGCAUACAGAGUGUUGGUUGCAUGUAAAUGUAAUCUAAUCUUUAAAGUGCUUCUCAGUUCGGACUGGGGUCUGCAGCCCGACCCCACGAAGCUGGAUUCGCUAGUAAUCGCGCAUCAGCCAUGGCGCGGUGAAUACGUUCCCGGGCCU